GUCUAUGGCCAUGCUACCCUGAACAAGCUUCAUGCCAUCUGAUCUCGGAAGCUAAGCAGGGUUGGGCCUGGUUAGUACUUGGAUGGGAGACCACCUAGGAAAACCAGGUUUUGUAGGCA
rnacentral:rRNA from 1 species